AGAGUUUGAUCAUGGCUCAGGACGAACGCUGGCGGCGUGCUUAACACAUGCAAGUCGAACGAUGAUGCCCAGCUUGCUGGGCGGAUUAGUGGCGAACGGGUGAGUAACACGUGAGUAACCUGCCCUUGACUUCGGGAUAACUCCGGGAAACCGGGGCUAAUACCGGAUAUGAGCCGUCCUCGCAUGGGGGUGGUUGGAAAGUUUUUCGGUCAGGGAUGGGCUCGCGGCCUAUCAGCUUGUUGGUGGGGUGAUGGCCUACCAAGGCGACGACGGGUAGCCGGCCUGAGAGGGCGACCGGCCACACUGGGACUGAGACACGGCCCAGACUCCUACGGGAGGCAGCAGUGGGGAAUAUUGCACAAUGGGCGAAAGCCUGAUGCAGCGACGCCGCGUGAGGGAUGAAGGCCUUCGGGUUGUAAACCUCUUUCAGCAGGGAAGAAGCGCAAGUGACGGUACCUGCAGAAGAAGCGCCGGCUAACUACGUGCCAGCAGCCGCGGUAAUAC
rnacentral:rRNA from 1 species